UCACUUAUAGUGUAAUGAAUUACAUUUGAUUAUCCGUAGAUUGCAAACAAGGUCUUUAUAAACUACAUGAUACAGAUAUAGAUGCCCCAAAUGAUUCACUGAUUAACCAUCACAGCAAGAGGAAUUAAUUAAAUAACAGACAAAUCAGUCAACUGAAUGAGAAGACAUACAGAUAAAAAAAACUGAUGGUGAGAGCUUCAUGAAAGGCUAUUGUUGUGAACGAAACAUAGAGGAAAGUUUUUUUUUUUGUUUUGUUUUGUUUUGUUUUUUUUGUUUGUUGAUAAGGAUGCUUUGUGAUUGUGUGCAUUGUUCUGAGACGAGUGAAAAUAGUGCCAUAAAAACCCUGUAAAUCCGUCUGGCCCCCGCGGUCACGCGUCCCGGAAGCGAAGGUGUAGCCGUACAGAGUUUGUAAACAAACUGGCGGAAGAUCGGAUGAGCGAAUGUCAGUCCUCUGAUGUGAUGAGGAUGAUGAAGACUCUCGUGAUGCUCUUCAUCCUGACCGCGUCGGAGAGCAGCGCGAGGAUCCACCAGCUCCAGCUGCAGAAUGAGAUGCGGCUCUCGUCCAUCUCAGCUCGUUCGGUUAUCUAGCCAGCGGCACUCUGGACAUCAGUGUUGUGUCUCUGAAUCUGCCGCCGGACAAGAGUGACCCUGGAAGAGUGGGCUUCAGGUUGUCCCGGUCUCAGGUGAGCGGCGUCCUGUCUGACACCGACCAGGAGGUGGAUGAGUGCAAGCUGCUGGAGAAAACCAGUGAAGAUGAGCUCGUCUUCUUCAUCAUCGACACCGAGGAGCUCAGCGUCCAAGUCAAGCACUUCGGCAAAUCUGACUUCACGCUGGAGUCCAAACUGAAGACGGAGAAGACGGAUGGAGGGAAAGGUAGAACAGAUGCACGUGAGCCCGAUGUGUGUGAGUGUUUGUGAGUGUGUGUGUUUGUGUGUGUGUGUGAGUGUGUGUGAGUGUGUGUGUUUGUGUGUGUGAGUGAGUGAUUGUGAGUGUGUGUGAGUGUGUGUGUGUGUGUGUGUGUGUGUGUGUGUGUGUGUGUGUGAGUGUGUGAGUGUGUGUGAGUGUGAGAGNNNNNNNNNNNNNNNNNNNNNNNNNNNNNNNNNNNNNNNNNNNAGUGUGUGAGAGUGUGUGUGUGUGUGUGUCUGUUUGUGAGUGUGUUAGUGUGUGAGUGUGAGAGUGUGUGAGAGUGUGUGUGUGUGUGUGUGUGUGUGAGAGAGUGUGUGAGUGUGUUAGUGUGUGAGUGAGUGAGUGUGUGUGUGUGUGUGUGAGAGUGUUUGUGAGUGUGUGAGUGAUUGUGAGUGUGUGUGAGUGAGUGUGAGUGUGUGAAUGUGAGAGUGUGUGAGUGUGUGUGUGUGUGUGUGUGUGAGUGUGUGUGUGUGUGAGAGUGUGUGUGAGUGUGUGUGUUUGUGUUAGAGUGUGUGUGUGUGUGUGUGUGUGUGUGAGUGUGUUAGUGUGUGAGAGUGUGUGUGUGAGUGUGUUAGUGUGUGAGAGUGUUUGAGUGUGUUAGUGUGUGAGUGUGAGUGUGUGUGUGUGAGUGUUUGUGAGUGUGAGAGUGAUUGUGAGUGUGUGUGUGUGUGUGUGUGUGAGUGUGUGUGUGUGUGUGUGUGUGUGUGUGUGUGUGUGUGUGUGUGUGUGUGUGUGUGUGUGUGUGUGUGUGUGUGUGUGUGUGUGUGUGUGUGUGUGUGUGUGUGUGUGUGUGUGUGUGUGUGUGUGUGUGUGUGUGUGUGUGUGUGUG
rnacentral:lncRNA from 12 species